CGAACGGGUGAGUAACACGUGGGCAAUCUGCCCUGCACUCUGGGACAAGCCCUGGAAACGGGGUCUAAUACCGGAUAUUACUGUCGCAGGCAUCUGUGAUGGUGGAAAGCUCCGGCGGUGCAGGAUGAGCCCGCGGCCUAUCAGCUUGUUGGUGGGGUGAUGGCCUACCAAGGCGACGACGGGUAGCCGGCCUGAGAGGGCGACCGGCCACACUGGGACUGAGACACGGCCCAGACUCCUACGGGAGGCAGCAGUGGGGAAUAUUGCACAAUGGGCGAAAGCCUGAUGCAGCGACGCCGCGUGAGGGAUGACGGCCUUCGGGUUGUAAACCUCUUUCAGCAGGGAAGAAGCGCAAGUGACGGUACCUGCAGAAGAAGCACCGGCUAACUACGUGCCAGCAGCCGCGGUAAUACGUAGGGUGCGAGCGUUGUCCGGAAUUAUUGGGCGUAAAGAGCUCGUAGGCGGCUUGUCGCGUCGGAUGUGAAAGCCCGGGGCUUAACUCCGGGUCUGCAUUCGAUACGGGCAGGCUAGAGUUCGGUAGGGGAGAUCGGAAUUCCUGGUGUAGCGGUGAAAUGCGCAGAUAUCAGGAGGAACACCGGUGGCGAAGGCGGAUCUCUGGGCCGAUACUGACGCUGAGGAGC
rnacentral:rRNA from 2 species